rnacentral:rRNA from 1 species
GUUAAGUUGCAGGGUAUAGACCCGAAACCCGGUGAUCUAGCCAUGGGCAGGUUGAAGGUUGGGUAACACUAACUGGAGGACCGAACCGACUAAUGUUGAAAAAUUAGCGGAUGACUUGUGGCUGGGGGUGAAAGGCCAAUCAAACCGGGAGAUAGCUGGUUCUCCCCGAAAGCUAUUUAGGUAGCGCCUCGUGAAUUCAUCUCCGGGGGUAGAGCACUGUUUCGGCAAGGGGGUCAUCCCGACUUACCAACCCGAUGCAAACUGCGAAUACCGGAGAAUGUUAUCACGGGAGACACACGGCGGGUGCUAACGUCCGUCGUGAAGAGGGAAACAACCCAGACCGCCAGCUAAGGUCCCAAAGUCAUGGUUAAGUGGGAAACGAUGUGGGAAGGCCCAGACAGCCAGGAUGUUGGCUUAGAAGCAGCCAUCAUUUAAAGAAAGCGUAAUAGCUCACUGGUCGAGUCGGCCUGCGCGGAAGAUGUAACGGGGCUAAACCAUGCACCGAAGCUGCGGCAGCGACGCUUAUGCGUUGUUGGGUAGGGGAGCGUUCUGUAAGCCUGUGAAGGUGUGCUGUGAGGCAUGCUGGAGGUAUCAGAAGUGCGAAUGCUGACAUAAGUAACGAUAAAGCGGGUGAAAAGCCCGCUCGCCGGAAGACCAAGGGUUCCUGUCCAACGUUAAUCGGGGCAGGGUGAGUCGACCCCUAAGGCGAGGCCGAAAGGCGUAGUCGAUGGGAAACAGGUUAAUAUUCCUGUACUUGGUGUUACUGCGAAGGGGGGACGGAGAAGGCUAUGUUGGCCGGGCGACGGUUGUCCCGGUUUAAGCGUGUAGGCUGGUUUUCCAGGCAAAUCCGGAAAAUCAAGGCUGAGGCGUGAUGACGAGGCACUACGGUGCUGAAGCAACAAAUGCCCUGCUUCCAGGAAAAGCCUCUAAGCAUCAGGUAACAUCAAAUCGUACCCCAAACCGACACAGGUGGUCAGGUAGAGAAUACCAAGGCGCUUGAGAGAACUCGGGUGAAGGAACUAGGCAAAAUGGUGCCGUAACUUCGGGAGAAGGCACGCUGAUAUGUAGGUGAAGUCCCUUGCGGAUGGAGCUGAAAUCAGUCGAAGAUACCAGCUGGCUGCAACUGUUUAUUAAAAACACAGCACUGUGCAAACACGAAAGUGGACGUAUACGGUGUGACGCCUGCCCGGUGCCGGAAGGUUAAUUGAUGGGGUUAGCGGUAACGCGAAGCUCUUGAUCGAAGCCCCGGUAAACGGCGGCCGUAACUAUAACGGUCCUAAGGUAGCGAAAUUCCUUGUCGGGUAAGUUCCGACCUGCACGAAUGGCGUAAUGAUGGCCAGGCUGUCUCCACCCGAGACUCAGUGAAAUUGAACUCGCUGUGAAGAUGCAGUGUACCCGCGGCAAGACGGAAAGACCCCGUGAACCUUUACUAUAGCUUGACACUGAACAUUGAGCCUUGAUGUGUAGGAUAGGUGGGAGGCUUUGAAGUGUGGACGCCAGUCUGCAUGGAGCCGACCUUGAAAUACCACCCUUUAAUGUUUGAUGUUCUAACGUUGACCCGUAAUCCGGGUUGCGGACAGUGUCUGGUGGGUAGUUUGACUGGGGCGGUCUCCUCCUAAAGAGUAACGGAGGAGCACGAAGGUUGGCUAAUCCUGGUCGGACAUCAGGAGGUUAGUGCAAUGGCAUAAGCCAGCUUGACUGCGAGCGUGACGGCGCGAGCAGGUGCGAAAGCAGGUCAUAGUGAUCCGGUGGUUCUGAAUGGAAGGGCCAUCGCUCAACGGAUAAAAGGUACUCCGGGGAUAACAGGCUGAUACCGCCCAAGAGUUCAUAUCGACGGCGGUGUUUGGCACCUCGAUGUCGGCUCAUCACAUCCUGGGGCUGAAGUAGGUCCCAAGGGUAUGGCUGUUCGCCAUUUAAAGUGGUACGCGAGCUGGGUUUAGAACGUCGUGAGACAGUUCGGUCCCUA